ACCCUCAGCUCAAGUCCUUCUCCCAUCCCAACUCGGACGUUAAAACCGCCCUUUUUAUAUUCCCCUUCCCUUCACUCUGCAUGUUAAAACUCUCUUCCCAUAGAAAUUCAAAAUCUCGAGGAAGGAGCAGAUUUUUGGUGUUCUGAGCUGUGUUUUCAAUGGUUUAUUCUGUAGAGAGAGGAGAAGGAGGAGAAAGAGAGUUGGUUAUGGGGAUGGGAGCAGCAGCAGGUCAGAGAUGGAAUAAUUCGAAGCCACCGCUUCAUAAUUUUGAUCUUCCAUUCUUAAAGUGGGGGAAUCAGAAACAUCUCCGUUGCAUGAAAAUCUCCGAUUCCUCUGCUAGCACUAGCACCACCACCACCGAUGGCCUCCAGAGAAGAAGCAGCCGAUCUCCUCCGUCAAAAUUUCAUUACGAAAUCCGACAAUUCAAGAAACCGAAACAAAGAAACGACAGCGUCGAGGAAGUGAGGGAAAAGCUGAUGUUGGAUUUUAAAACCGCUGCUGAUAAGAUGAAAGAUGCGAUUUUUAGUAGUGGUAAUGAGGAGGCCCCACCUGCUGAUACCACAACGACAGCAACCGAGCAAGAGGUGAGACCAUGGAAUCUGAGAACAAGGAGAGCAGCAUGUAAAUCACCGAUUGCCGUAGCUGGGAAUUCAGUUACAGGUAAAGGAUUCAUAAUUGAUUCGCCGUUGAGAAGUGAAAGCUCGAAAUCUCCAAGGCUGAGGGAAAAUGAAGACGACACCACGCAGCAGGCGAGACCCAAGCUUUCCGUAGCGCUGUCAAAGAAGGAGAUCGAGGAAGAUUUUAUGGCGUUAGUGAGCCAUAGACCACCCAGACGGCCCAAGAAACGUUCCCGAUACGUGCAGAAACAGUUGGAUUCGCUGUUUCCUGGAUUGUGGUUAUCGGAGGUUACUGUUGAUACAUAUAAGGUGCCGGAUCUCCCUGAUAAUGGCAAGAGGUAGCUGUUUAAGCAGUGGACUUUACGACAAGUUCGAAACUUGAAGGCUUUUGUUUGCUGACUACUGUGGUAACUUUGGGACUAACGAGUUAUAUACCAAAGCAGCUCUCAGUAUUUGGCAACCGAAGUUUAGGUCCCCUGAUGUGACAGUGACAAAAUUGAUGGGUAUUGAACGUUGAUCAAGAGCAGCUUUUUAUUUUCUUUUUUGUUGAUCAUUAACAUCGAGUGUAUUCAAAGUAAUACCAGUUUGAAGCACUUGUUAGACAAUUUCUUGGGCCUUAGAAGUUUCAGGGAAAUAUUUGACUGGUGGAUUUCUCGACUGUCUGCAACUGCGAUAUUGGUAGUGCAUGCUGCUAGCUUCUUGAAGAGCUACCGUUUGCAUUUCUUCUACAUUUAUGUGUUACUACAUUGAUCAGUAAAUAGCUAUUUACUUGAACAAGUAGUUUUUGCAUGUUAUAAUUUGAGUAAGUAGUUUGUUUGCUAAUAUUGAAGUCAACUGGCGGUAGAUUUGUUAGGGCACUGGAAAAAUCUUUCUAUUGAUACAAGGAUGGUCUUUCCUAUGAGGAGGGAAUACUUGCAACUUCUCUCUCUUAGAUGCCAAUGGACUUCAAUGCUGCCCAGGUAACUGAUUUUAAAUUUCGUCAGUAGUUUGUACAUGGUUUGGGUGGAAAAUUACGCAGGCUCUCUACUUUCCAGGUUCUUAUUUCUUCCCUUCACUUUCCUGAGUUCUAACUGUCGUCCAAGAUGCCUAAAAAAAAAACCCCCUCCUUUGUAAUUAAAAUUGCAGAAUUAAUUUCAUCACAAGUUUCUCUUAAGAAGUGGAGUCAGGAUUCCUCUUCUUCUUUAUUAUCCCUGAAAACCUUCUGAAAUCCUAUUAAACCACCACUAAUCAGGGACAAGGGAAGAAGCAAAGGAGCUUAUAAGUCACCAUUAAUGCUAUACUGUUCUAAGCGCUGACAAUGAGUUGCUCUCAUUUGUAGUAAGCUGGAAGCACGUUUCUUAAAUCUGCAGUUGCCAUCCAAUUCUGACAAUAGUUUCUGUCAUUCUGGGAUGGUACUCUCUGCAUAAAUGGAAAACCGGGACGAUACUUCCUUGUGUAUAUAUAGUGUUGGGGCAGUGGGACACCAAGCGUGCUUCCUUUCAGUGGGGUUCCAACUUCCAAGUUCAGAUUUCAGACACUUAUUGCUCGACAUUAGUCAAGUUCCUAGAAAUGAGAUGGAAACAUGCAUUACAUUCCUUUUUCAUGCGAUACCUUUCGAAACUUUAUUUUUGCAUAUGGACUUUAAAACAAUAAUAAUUCCAAGGGCUGCUUUGACCCGUAAGUUGAACAUGGAUACGCGGCUUUCUAGCCUACGGUUUUGAAUGAAUCAAUUGGAACCGUUAAAGUUUUGGCCUGGCUUUCUCAGUGUCCAACUUGCCUUCAAGUCUGGCCCUUUAACGUCCAAAUGCAUCGCAUACUCGAAACAGUUCCAUGGCGCACUUGAUGAUGCACCGACGCCUGUCUUUUUGCUGAUUAAUCUUCUCUACUCAUCUCACUCCUCAUCCACAUGCAGAUGCGAACUUAUUUCACCGACUGGACCGAACCCAGAUGGCACGACUAGCUAGCCUCCUUGGGUUAACAGAUGUUUGUUUGUUGUUGGGUGUUGGUUGAAUUACCAUUAGACCACCUUUUGGCAAGCCAGAACAAAUUGAGUGAAAGUUCAGGUCUCUUAUCUUUGCUGCCUCAGCUUGUAAAAAAUGCUUGUGGAUUGUAACUAUGAUGCUAGUUAGGACCAAAAUCCUUGCAAAAGUAAUAAAAAUCAGACCUCAACA